rnacentral:rRNA from 1 species
AUACGAGUGCCCCAAGCGUUAUCCGGAUUUAUUGGGCGUAAAGCGUCUGUAGGCGGUUUAUUAAGUUUCUCGUCAAAUCCUGAGGCUCAACCUCAGGACUGCGAGAAAUACUGGUAAACUAGAGGACGGGAGAGGUAGAUGGAAUUGCCGGUGUAGCGGUUAAAUGUGUUAAUAUCGGCAAGAACACCAAAUGCGAAGGCUUUCUACUGGAACGUUCCUGACGCUCAGAGACGAAAGCGUGGGUAGCGAAUGGGAUUAGAAACCCGAGUAGUCC